rnacentral:rRNA from 1 species
UACAGAGGGUGCGAGCGUUGUCCGGAAUCACUGGGCGUAAAGGGCGCGUAGGUGGCGCGACAAGUCAGUGGUGAAAGUUCGACGCUCAACGUCGAAUCGGCCACUGAUACUGUUGGGCUUGAGCACUGUAGAGGCUAAUGGAAUUCCGGGUGUAGCGGUGGAAUGCGUAGAGAUCCGGAAGAACACCGGUGGCGAAGGCGGUUAGCUGGGCAGUUGCUGACA